AAAAAAUAAUAAUAAUAAUAAAAAUAAGGAUAGCAGGGUCUUGAACGAAGGUAGGACCCGAAGUCGGGCAGAAAAGUAGAAAAAUUUGCGCUCAGGUCGGGAGGUCCUCAAGACGGAAAGUGGUCAGGUCGGGAAGUCCUCAGGUCGGGAGGUCCUCAAGACAGAAAGUGGUCAGGACGGGAAGUGCUUAGGUCGGGAAGUCCUCAGGUAGGGAGGUCCUCAAGACGGAAAGUGGUCAGGUCGGGAAGUCCUCAGGUCGGGAUUUCCUCAAGACGGAAAGUGGUCAGGACGGGAAGUCCUUAGGUCGGGAAGUCCUCAAGACGGAAAGUGGUCAGGACGGGAAGUCCUUAGGUCGGAAAGUCCUCAAGACGGAAAGUGGUCAGGUCCGGAAGUCCUCAGGUCGGGAG